rnacentral:rRNA from 1 species
CCUACGGGUGGCAGCAGUGAGGAAUAUUGGUCAAUGGACGAGAGUCUGAACCAGCCACGUAGCGUGAAGGAUGACUGCCCUAUGGGUUGUAAACUUCUUUUAUAGGGGAAUACAGUGUUCCAUGUCUGUGAUAUAGUACGUACCAUAUGAAUUGGGAGCGGCUAACUCCGUGCCAGGAGCCGCGGUAAUACGGAGGAUCCGAGCGUUAUCCGGAUUUAUUGGGUUUAAAGGGAGUCUAGGUGGAUUGAUAAGUCAGUUGUGAAAGUUCGGGGCUCAACCCUAAAAUUGCAGUUGAAACUGGUAGUCUUGAGUACAGUAGAGGUGGGCGGAAUUCGUGGUGUAGCGGUGAAAUGCUUAGAUAUCACGAAGAACUCCGAUUGCGAAGGCAGUUCACUGGACUGCAACUGACACUGAGGCGCGAAAGUGUGGGUAUCAAACAGGAUUAGAUACCCCAGUAGUC